AUACGUAGGUGGCGAGCGUUGUCCGGAAUUACUGGGCGUAAAGCGCACGCAGGCGGUCUGUCAAGUCGGAUGUGAAAUCCCCGGGCUCAACCUGGGAACUGCAUUCGAAACUGGCAGGCUUGAGUCUCGUAGAGGGGGGUAGAAUUCCAGGUGUAGCGGGGAAAUGCGUAGAGAGCUGGAGGAAUACCGGUGGCGAAGGCGGCCUCCUGGACGAAGACUGACGCUCAGGUGCGAAAGCGUGGGGAGCAAACAGGAUUAGAUACCCUGGUAGUCCACGCCGUAAACGAUGUCUAUUUGGAGGUUGUGCCCUUGAGGCGUGGCUUCCGGAGCUAACGCGUUAAAUAGACCGCCUGGGGAGUACGGCCGCAAGGUUAAA
rnacentral:rRNA from 1 species